CCUACGGGAGGCAGCAGUGGGGGAUAUUGCACAAUGGGGGAAACCCUGAUGCAGCGACGCCGCGUGGGUGAAGAAGCGCCUCGGCGCGUAAAGCCCUGUCAGCAGGGAAGAAAAUGACGGUACCUGAAGAAGAAACCCCGGCUAACUACGUGCCCGCAGCCGCGGUAAUACGUAGGGGGCAAGCGUUAUCCGGAUUUACUGGGUGUAAAGGGGGCGCAGACGGCGAUGCAAGCCAGGAGUGAAAGCCCGGGGCCCAACCCCGGGACUGCUCUUGGAACUGCGGGGCUAGAGUGCAGGAGGGGCAGGCGGAAUGCCUGGUGUAGCGGUGAAAUGCGUAGAUAUCAGGAGGAACACCGGUGGCGAAGGCGGCCUGCUGGACUGCAACUGACGUUGAGGCCCGAAAGCGUGGGGAGCAAACAGGAUUAGAUACCCCAGUAGUC
rnacentral:rRNA from 1 species